rnacentral:rRNA from 1 species
CGUGGGCGCUGGAGAACUGAGGGGGGCUGCUCCUAGUACGAGAGGACCGGAGUGGACGCAUCACUGGUGUUCGGGUUGUCAUGCCAAUGGCACUGCCCGGUAGCUAAAUGCGGAAGAGAUAAGUGCUGAAAGCAUCUAAGCACGAAACUUGCCCCGAGAUGAGUUCUCCCUGACCCUUUAAGGGUCCUGAAGGAACGUUGAAGACGACGACGUUGAUAGGCCGGGUGUGUAAGCGCAGCGAUGCGUUGAGCUAACCGGUACUAAUGAACCGUGAGGCUUAACCUUACAACGCCGAAGGUGUUU